rnacentral:rRNA from 1 species
UACAGAGGGUGCAAGCGUUGUUCGGAAUUAUUGGGCGUAAAGGGCGCGUAGGCGGUUCGGCAAGUCUCUAGUGAAAUCUCAGGGCUCAACUCUGAGUCUGCUGGGGAAACUGCCGGGCUUGAGUGUGGGAGAGGAGAGUGGAAUUCCCGGUGUAGCGGUGAAAUGCGUAGAUAUCAGGAAGAACACCCGUGGCGAAGGCGGCUCUCUGGAACGCAACUGACGCUGAGACGCGAAAGCGUGGGGAGCAAACAGG